GCCAGGUGCAGUGGUGCAUGCCUAUAAUCCCAGCAGCUUGGGAGGCUGAGGCAGGAGGAUCACGAGUUCAAAGCAAGCAUCAGCAACAGAGAGGCCCUAAGCAACUCAGUGAGAUUCUGUCUCUU
rnacentral:sRNA from 1 species